GAAAAGGAGAUGAUAAGAUUAGCUUUUGGUCCAGAAACCCAUUUGGUUUCACUAAUUAACCAAGCUAAAGCUUGUUUAGGACUUCCAUCAAACACUUCAUCUGCAUCUUCAACUCCUAACUCUCCUUCACCUUUUAAUCCCAUGUCAAAUGCUACAAAGUUGAACUCAUCAAACACUUCAUCUGUAACUUCAACUCCUAACUCUCCUUCACCUUUUAACCCCAUGUCAAAUGCUACAAAGUUGAACCUUUUCCCUCAAUCUUCACCAAGAAUCAUGAUUCCUAAUAAUGGGUUUGUUCAUUCUUCACCUAAUUCACCUUGGUCUAGUGGGUCACCUGUGUUUUCA
rnacentral:lncRNA from 1 species